GUACAGGGGAAGAGCUUGCUCUUUCGCUGACGACCGGCGCACGGGUGCGUAACGCGUAUACAACCUACCUUUUGGAGGGGAAUAGCCCAGGGAAACUUGGAUUAAUGCCCCAUAGUAUGGGAAUAUCUCCUGAUAUUUUCAUUAAACAUUUAUGGCCAUUAGAUGGGUAUGCGUCCUAUUAGUUAGUUGGUAAGGUAACGGCUUACCAAGGCAGCGAUAGGUAGGGGUCCUGAGAGGGAGAUCCCCCACACUGGUACUGAGACACGGACCAGACUCCUACGGGAGGCAGCAGUGAGGAAUAUUGGACAAUGGGCGAGAGCCUGAUCCAGCCAUGCCGCGUGCAGGAAGACUGCCCUAUGGGUUGUAAACUGCUUUUACAGAGGAAGAACCACUCCCACGUGUGGGAGUUUGACGGUACUCUGCGAAUAAGGAUCGGCUAACUCCGUGCCAGCAGCCGCGGUAAUACGGAGGAUCCAAGCGUUAUCCGGAAUCAUUGGGUUUAAAGGGUCCGUAGGCGGGCAGUUAAGUCAGUGGUGAAAGUCUUCCGCUCAACGGGAGAACUGCCAUUGAUACUGAUUGUCUUGAGUUAUUAUGAAGUGGUUAGAAUGAGUAGUGUAGCGGUGAAAUGCAUAGAUAUUACUCAGAAUACCGAUUGCGAAGGCAGAUCACUAAUAAUAUACUGACGCUGAUGGACGAAAGCGUAGGUAGCGAACAGGAUUAGAUACCCUGGUAGUCUACGCCGUAAACGAUGGUUACUAGCUGUUCGGCCCGAUUAAGGGCUGAGUGGUUAAGCGAAAGUGAUAAGUAACCCACCUGGGGAGUACGUUCGCAAGAAUGAAACUCAAAGGAAUUGACGGGGGCCCGCACAAGCGGUGGAGCAUGUGGUUUAAUUCGAUGAUACGCGAGGAACCUUACCAGGGCUUAAAUGUAGUCUGACAGGACUGGAAACAGCUUUUUCUUCGGACAGAUUACAAGGUGCUGCAUGGUUGUCGUCAGCUCGUGCCGUGAGGUGUCAGGUUAAGUCCUAUAACGAGCGCAACCCCUGUGGUUAGUUGCCAGCGAGUAAUGUCGGGAACUCUAGCCAGACUGCCGGUGCAAACCGUGAGGAAGGUGGGGAUGACGUCAAAUCAUCACGGCCCUUACGUCCUGGGCCACACACGUGCUACAAUGGUAGGGACAGAGAGCAGCCACUUCGCGAGAAGGAGCGAAUCUACAAACCCUAUCACAGUUCGGAUCGCAGUCUGCAACUCGACUGCGUGAAGCUGGAAUCGCUAGUAAUCGCAUAUCAGCCAUGAUGCGGUGAAUACGUUCCCGGGCCUUGUACACACCGCCCGUCAAGCCAUGGAAGCCGGGGGUACCUGAAGU
rnacentral:rRNA from 1 species